UUGGAUGAUUCCGUGAGUCUCGACGGUGCUUCGUGAUGAUCCGUGCGAUGGCUGUGCGUAGAAAGUCGACCGACCCACCAUCUAGAGAAGUAAAGUCGUACAAGGUUUCGUAGGUGAACUGCGGAAGGAUCAUACUGUUGAACAGUGUGGUG
rnacentral:rRNA from 1 species